CCCAGCUGGCUCAUGCUGCACAUCUGCAUUCAGUUUCCUUUGGAGGUGUUAGCCCAGAGCGGGCAUCCUGCCAAGUUUCCAGGUGUGAAAAAAACACAGGAGCUGCAAUUUUUCAGUGGUGAUUCAGCUGCGUUUUUAAAGAAAACAACUCCCCUCGACUGCAGCAGGAAAUCACUGUUUGGAUUUAUGAGGCACCUCUUCCUGACCAUCCUCUCUGAAAAAGCCUUUGCUAAAUUGACAUGGCUGCUCCAUUCUCGACUCCUGCUGGGAGAAUCUGGACAACGGGAGCUUGGAGAGGCUCUUCCAAGGCUCAAGCAAACAUCUGUGGGGAUUAUGCUGAUCUCUAGUAAUGCUGGAAUAAGUGUGAUCUCUCCUGUGUGACAUGACACCUUGGGACCCAGUGCUCAAAACUUCUGGACUGGUAGAUCUUGAUCAGAUCCCUCUGAGAAGCUCAGAUUUGUGAGGAGCACGGUAUAAAAAACUAUACAGAAUAGAAUGUUCUGAGCUGCCUUCCUCGUGGUCUUUGGUCCCUUUCCUCACCAUACACAGGCGACGGUUAACUCAAACCACGAUGUAUUUUCCUUCUCCAACUUGGUAGCAAUGCAGAACGACGCAGAACCUGGAGAUAUAUGGUCUAUGCUCAGGCCCCGGUGUACACAGGCUGGCUGAAGUAGUCAGAUAGGUUGCAGUUUGGCACAGAAAUCAGCUGGACUUUGCCAGUUCUACGCGCUUCAGAUGUAGCAGAGUUCAGACAGCUUCUGACACCAUGAGAUAAUUUUUUCGGUAUUCUUUACUGGCCAACACAACGCCAAGCUGACUGAGACCCCACCCCCAUGCAACACAAUGGUGUGCCAAGGGGCUGCUGCAUUUGGAGUGUGAUCGAGAGUCUAAGCAGUCUCGGGAGGAUUGUUGCAAAAACCAGCGAGCAUCAUAUAGCAACUUAAUUCAGCUACAUCAGCAGGGGAGAGGCCAUUCCAGCUUGGACCAGCUUUCAAAUAACUCCACCAGCAGGAUAUUAAGUGGCAGCGUACUUAGCUAAUCAAACACAAAAGAAAAGCAUGACAUCAUAAGAACCAGUCGCCAUCAGCCAAUGAGCAGUCCUGAAGACAGAACACUCACCUAGCAAUGACGGAGAAAGGAUGAACGUUUUCAAGGGUGUUGCAUACACUGCAAGACUCUCUCCACUAUUCACACGCAGCCGCCACUAGGUGCACUGGUAACUGAAUGCUGUAGCCCCCUUAUGGCAGGGUGCUUCACUCACUCCUCAGCUGGUGCCUCCUCCUGGCCGCUCCAGGGAGUAGCUCAUGAGGUUGACACUUCUUCUUGUGGUCGCACACCAUCACUCUGUCUCUCUCUGGUCUGCAGCUCUAUUCUUGCUCCAGGAACUGCAGCGUCCUCUCCGUGAUUCAGCCCUCCGGCCAGAUUGCUCAGCGUCCCCCCUUCAGGGGUACAGUCCUUCCAAGUGUCCUUGACCCAGGUAGUCUUCCAGUUGACUGCCCCACCGGUGCCACUUCCCCAGUGGUGGGCAGGGGAACCCAGGCCUGCCCUCUACUCCAGGUUCCAGCCCAGGGACCCUACAACAUGCAGCCAAGGUCUGUUCAGUCCCCAACCUUGCUGCUUACUUCCUGGGCUGCUUCCUACCCCAGCACUCCUGGGGUUUGCCAGCCUCUGUAUUCCCUUCUCCCAGGGAGUGACCCUGGGCUACUUGUCGCUAUAGACCCCAAACACACCUCCCUUCUCCCAGGGAGUGACUGCAGACACCUCCCUGCAGCCCUCAGCCUGCUCCCAGCUCCCUGGCUUUAUAGAAGUCCCAUCUGUUCCCACACAGGUGAGCUUGCCGUAAUUAGGGCUUUCCUCUCAGCCUUCAGCCUAAUACAGGGAUUGGCAACCUUUGGCAGCGUCCGCAGGUUCGGCCGAUCACAGCUCCCACUGGCCGUGGUUCGCCGUCCCAGGCCAAUGGGAGCUGCAGGAAGCGGCAACCAGCAAAUCCCUUGGCCCGCACUGCUUCCCGCAGUGUCCAUUGGCCUGGAGCAGCGAACCACAGCCAGUGGGAGCUGCGAUCGGCCCAACCCGCGGAUGCGGCAGGUAAACAAACCGGCCUGGCCUGUCAGGGGGCUUACUCUGGUGGGCUGCAGGCCAAAGGCUGCCAAUCCCUGGCCUAAUAGGUUAAUUGGCCCCUCUGGCCUCCAUUAACCCCUUCAGGGCACAUGUGUUGGGGGGACAUCCCAUCACAUCCUGCUAAUGAUUGGAGGUCAGAUUUUUAACUGGCAGUGCUCUUUGUUUAGCAUGGUGCUGAGAGGCGUAAGGCAGAAUGCUCCCUUGGAGGUACCAAAUCGACAGGCCUAAAGGGAACCAAUGCACAUCUGUGGUCAGUAAAUGUCACACACAAGAUGCUGCAGAAGAAGGUGGCAUUUCCACCCUCACUCCCGGGGGUAGCCCUGCUUUAGAAUGUUGUCCGAACUUUGGCACUCUACUCUCUUUGCAGGUUUUUUUGUUUUUUUUUUAAUCUGAUGAAACCAGCUAUGGUCUGCAGCUGGAAACCUCAGAGAGUGAGAAGGUGAAACUGCCGGUCAUCAAGCUGUUUGCUUUCUGGAGGGGGGGAAAACCCACCGAACCGGCUGACAGACCUGAAAUGUUAAUUUCUUCCAGCUGUUGUCAAGUCUGGCAGGCUCUCAAAGGAAGUUUAAUAGACUACAGGCUUCUCUGCUUGCCCCCAUCCUUCCACUGGCUCUGCUUACCAGAGGCAGCCUCCUGGAACCUAUCUGAUUAAACAAACGUCCUCGCCUUCCAACAAUUUGUUUUCUCUUUGGCUUGAAAGAUUUUUGUGCAAUGUGUUUGUUUAUUUCCCCAUCCCCUGGCCCUUUGAAAUUGCCAUUAAUUGCAGGGGAGGAGGCCAAUUAGGCAGGCUCAGGACUGCGAAUAAGGAGCAAGCAGGACCCAACUAAGGGCAGCACUUAUAAGCGAGAAGAAAGCAAAGGUGGGGGGUUCAUGAACCAUCUCUGAGACUUCACCACUUCGGUGCGUGGCCAGACAGGAAACAGGAUCAAAAAGGUCUUUGUAGUUGAAAAAGAAAAAUCCUUCCACUUGCAUUUGAUUGAUUUUGAUUCAAGACACAAGUAGGAUACGCUGUUGAAAGCAAGGAACUUCUAGGUUUGAUCAGACAUGGGACCUCUCUAGUCCUGUAUCUUAUCUCUGACCAGCGUCAGAUGUGUCCAAGGACGUGAUAGGAUAAUAUAGCCUGGUGGGAUAAAAACAACGAGGAGUCCUUGUGGCACCUUAGAGACGAACACAUGUAUUUGGGCAUAAGCUUUGGUGGGCUACAGCCUACUUCAUCAGAUGCAUGGAGUGAAAAUCCAGUAGGCAGGUAUAAAUCUACAGCACAUGAAAAGAUAGGGUAGUUUCUUUCCAGCCAGUUAGAGGUUGGCUGAUGCCUGGCGAAGAUGGGUUUGUUAUUACAGCAAGUCAGAAAAUUUUCAUCUAAAACAGUUUGCUAUUGGAAAGUGCGCUUCUGACUAAAGUGAUUUUUUUGUGAAAUUGUAUUGAUUGUUUAAGGAGAAAAAAAUUAAAAAAAAGUCAAGUUUAAAAAUGUCAAAAUGGGA